CAGGUCACUCCUACGGGAGGCAGCAGUGGGGAAUAUUGGACAAUGGGGGCAACCCUGAUCCAGCAAUGCCGCGUGGGCGAUGAAGGCCUUCGGGUUGUAAAGCUCUGUCGGGCGGGACGAAAACUUUUGAGGUUAAUAGCCUCAGAAAUUGACGGUACCGGAAGAAUAAGCACCGGCUAACUCCGUGCCAGCAGCCGCGGUAAUACGGAGGGUGCGAGCGUUGUUCGGAAUUACUGGGCGUAAAGAGUGUGUAGGCGGUGCUCUAAGUUCGUUGUGAAAUCUCCCGGCUUAACUGGGAGGGUGCGGCGGAAACUGGAGUGCUUGAGCGCGGGAGAGGAAAGCGGAAUUCCUGGUGUAGCGGUGAAAUGCGUAGAUAUCAGGAGGAACACCUGUGGUGUAGACGGCUUUCUGGACCGUAGCUGACGCUGAGACACGAAAGCGUGGGUAGCAAACAGGAUUAGAUACCCUGGUAGUCCACGCCCUAAACGAUGCACAUUUGGUGUGGGUCAUUCAGUUGAUCCGUGCCGGAGCUAACGCGUUAAAUGUGCCGCCUGGGGAGUACAGUCGCAAGGCUGAAACUUAAAGGAAUUGAC
rnacentral:rRNA from 1 species